rnacentral:rRNA from 1 species
GACGAACGCUGGCGGCGUGCCUAAUACAUGCAAGUGGGACGCAAGGAAACACACUGUGCUUGCACACCGUGUUUUCUUGAGUCGCGAACGGGUGAGUAACGCGUAGGUAACCUGCCUAUUAGCGGGGGAUAACUAUUGGAAACGAUAGCUAAUACCGCAUAAUAUUAAUUAUUGCAUGAUAAUUGAUUGAAAGAUGCAAGCGCAUCACUAGUAGAUGGACCUGCGUUGUAUUAGCUAGUUGGUAAGGUAAGAGCUUACCAAGGCGACGAUACAUAGCCGACCUGAGAGGGUGAGCGGCCACACUGGGACUGAGACACGGCCCAGACUCCUACGGGAGGCAGCAGUAGGGAAUCUUCGGCAAUGGACGAAAGUCUGACCGAGCAACGCCGCGUGAGUGAAGAAGGUUUUCGGAUCGUAAAGCUCGGUUGUAAGUCAAGAACGUGUGUGAGAGUGGAAAGUUCACACAGUGACGGUAGCUUACCAGAAAGGGACGGCUAACUACGUG